UACGUAGGGUGCAAGCGUUAAUCGGAAUUCCUGGGCGUAAAGCGUGCGCAGGCGGUUAUUUAAGACAGGUGUGAAAUCCCCGGGCUUAACCUGGGAACUGCAUUUGUGACUGCAUAGCUAGAGUACGGUAGAGGGGGAUGGAAUUCCGCGUGUAGCAGUGAAAUGCGUAGAUAUGCGGAGGAACACCGAUGGCGAAGGCAAUCCCCUGGACCUGUACUGACGCUCAUGCACGAAAGCGUGGGGAGCAAACAGG
rnacentral:rRNA from 1 species